CCUUUUGUAUUUUGGCUCAUCUGUGACGUGGAGCAGCAGUGGGUGUAAAGGAUGACGUCACAGCUGUCGUCCAAGUUAUUGCAAUUUUGCAAAAGUGUUGUGAAAUUUAGGAUUAUGGAUUAUAGAUUCCAUGAUAGUGGAAUCAGACCCAAAGUACCGCAUGCAAGAAGAACAACCACAGCAGCCUACAAGAGCAAAGAGCAUGCAUCUUGUGAUGUGGCUCCAAUCCAGGUGGAAGCAUUUCCUCUGCCGUGAUUGAUGGAGCAGGAAAUGUCACCAACACUUGACACUCCUGUGGUUUGUUCCUGAGAUCAUUCACUCUGAAAUUCACAGCUCCCACUCCUUCAUCAGCCCUCCAUCGCACCAGUAGAGGUAGAAAUGUGUUCGCUUCAGGAUCAAUGCAGCAAGAGUUUUAGUUCAGCAGCCAGUGAGAGUGAAAGACAGUGACGGCACCGACCAGGAGGAAAGUUUCAUCACUAAUAUCAA